rnacentral:lncRNA from 1 species
UCAAUUCACUCGACAACAAGAGAAACAAAUGGAGAUUCCUACACAAAGACUUUCAAGCACAAAGAAAUCCUGCUGCCUGUAAAGUGGAGCUGCCUCAGCUCUUGAUGAACGACAGAAAAUACCACCUACUGCCAGACCUCAACGCCUCACAAAACUCUCACCCACCUACUGCUUUUAGCUCACAUUCCAGGAAUUCAGAUGAAGUGAAGUGCUCUCAUGGGGACCAGGCAUGGUUAUUCCAGUCCACUGCCCUGCAAGCCUCAAGGGAAGCCAACUGCCCUUCAGCAAGUCACACCUGCCUUGGUGGAGGCCUUGAUUGGAAGUGCCACACGCUACAUGUCCAGUCCUGAGCGGGAGAAUCGGUGUAGGGACGUUGUGGGGAUGCCGGCUGUGGCCAGAUCAGGUCCAGCUACAGAAGAAUGAAGACUCCACCUGAGGGCUGGAAAAACAAAACCUCAAGUGUGAGGCAGCCAACCUGUUACCUCGAGGGACUGUCCCGCAGCACAGCGGGGCCAUGGGAACAGCAGCAGACACCCCGGCCUCCUCGCUACCUGUGUGUGUAUUAACGCCCCGGCCCCCUCACUACCUAUCAACUAUGGCCUGA